rnacentral:rRNA from 1 species
CCUACGGGAGGCAGCAGUGGGGAAUAUUGCACAAUGGGGGAAACCCUGAUGCAGCGACGCCGCGUGAGUGAAGAAGUCAUUCGUUACGGAAAGCUCUAUCAGCAAGGGAGAAAAUGACGGUACCUGAGUAAGAAGCCCCGGCUAACUACGUGCCAGCAGCCGCGAGAAUACGUAGGGGGCAAGCGUUAUCCGGAUUUACUGGGUGUAAAGGGAGCGUAGACGGUGCGCCAAGUCGGGAGUGAAAUGCCGCAGCUUAACUGUGGAACUGCUUUUGAAACUGGCGAACUAGAGUGCGGGAGGGGUAAGCGGAAUUCCUAGUGUAGCGGUGAAAUGCGUAGAUAUUAGGAGGAACACCGGUGGCGAAGGCGGCUUACUGGACCGUAACUGACGUUGAGGCUCGAAAGCGUGGGGAGCAAACAGGAUUAGAUACCCGAGUAGUC